rnacentral:ncRNA from 1 species
AUAUAAGCAAUGAAGAAGACGCGUCGAAUCAAGAGAAACGAAUAGAGAGCAGCUCGUUUGGUGGAAGAGCUGUACGCGGAAUUGAUUGGGUAUCCCUUCUUGGCUGGUGGAUCGAAAGCAGUAGAUCAACCCGGUUUAGGCCGUUAUCCUGUCAAGAGCCCGCUUUUGCGGGAAGUAAGGUGGUACCGCGUUCAUAACGUCCUUUCG